rnacentral:rRNA from 1 species
CAGUAGCCGCGGUAAGACAGAGGAUGCAAGCGUUAUCCGGAAUGAUUGGGCGUAAAGCGUCUGUAGGUGGCUUUUCAAGUCCGCCGUCAAAUCCCAGGGCUCAACCCUGGACAGGCGGUGGAAACUACCAAGCUGGAGUACGGUAGGGGCAGAGGGAAUUUCCGGUGGAGCGGUGAAAUGCGUAGAGAUGUGGAGGAACACCGAUGGCGAAGGCAGCCCCCUGGGCCAAUACUGACGCUCAUGCACGAAAGCGUGGGGAGCAAACAGGAUUAGAUACCCCGGUAGUCCCUGUCUCUUAUAC